AGGUUGUUGCCGUUGCGGAUUUCGAACCUUGCGAGGGAUCGAGACAGGAGAUAAUGUAAGAUCUGACAAAGGAGCGUAACGGCAACAACAACAACAACAACAACAAGCAAAGCUAUUCACACGAAGCAAGGAAAAUGUGCCAGUACAUGUGAGGACAGCGCCGCCUUUCACCUCCUGCUGAUUCAUUCUCACGACUUUGGUUAAACUCACAGACACCCGCUCGUCCUUGGCGCUGACUCGGACGUUGUUGCGUUUCCAGGACACGCUGGGUUCGGGGUGGCCUCGCGGAGGCACGCACUCCAGCACGGCCGGCUCGCCGGCAGCGACCACCACGUCGCUGGGGGCCUGGCGGAAAUCAUCCCUCAGUACUGGGAAGGAAACGCAGAGAAAUCCAAUUAGCCGGAGAGGCCCUGUCCGUCUGAUGUAUUUAAAGCAAAGAGUGGAAAUCGGACACAGAUCGGUGAGCAGCAGCGCGGCCACAUGACCGGCACCAUCAAAGGACACACCAAUUUGUCUUGGGAGUGGAUCAGAGUUGUUCUCCUACUGUAAGUGAACCAUCUUCUGGCUGAGGCUUGGUUGACAACGAGCUUAUUAGGAAAAUGUCCAUUAUUGUGUUUGCCUGUGCAUGAGCGCUCAGACGCCUGACAACGUCCUUGUUAGCCCCGCCUGUGGCCUGCUACUCUGCUGUCAGCGCAAAUGAAUAAUGCACGUCUCCUAGUCUGACACGGCGUAAACAAAUAACAGUGCAUUCAUAAUUUAUUCCAGAAAAAAAAGGCCCCCGCCUUAAUGAAGGGAUUGUCUCAGAUUUCAAAUGUUAUCCUACAAAUCUGCAGCCCGGCCCUGAUUUGAAUGAAAUCGAUAGGGAACGAGCGAAGAGGCUCCUGGCGUCGACCCCGAGGUUUCCGCCGCCGCCGCCCUCGGGAUGACGACUGGAUGAAAAGGUUAACGCGGUGACUCUCGAGGUUCCAUCUAAUCUUUUCCUGUGACUGACAGAUGAAAGCCUCAGCGUGAACAGUGAACUGGAGGCUUCUCAUCAGAUUUCCUGUGUAAUGGAAAGACACAGCACGGGCAUGAGGACAGACACACACACACACACACACACACACACACACACACACACACACACACACACACACACACACACAC